rnacentral:rRNA from 1 species
UACCGAGGGCCCGAGCGUUGUUCGGAUUCAUUGGGCGUAAAGGGUGCGUAGGCGGUCUUCUAAGUUUGAUGUGAAAUCCCGGGGCUCAACCCUGGAAUUGCAUUGAAUACUGGAGGACUAGAGUACUGGAGAGGAAACUGGAAUUUACGGUGUAGCAGUGAAAUGCGUAGAGAUCGUAAGGAAGACCAGUGGCGAAGGCGAGUUUCUGGACAGUAACUGACGCUGAGGCACGAAGGCCAGGGGAGCAAACGGG